rnacentral:lncRNA from 1 species
AGAUGCCUGAGCAGGCAGAGCCGACUGCAUCACUAGAGGUGCGGGCACCCCUAGUUGUUGAGCAGAGAGCCCGACCCGAGGCGAGUGCGUCCCCGGAGUUGAGUGCACAGUUAGUCGCGCUGACAGAGGUGACGAGGCGGCAGGGGGAGUUGUUGGAGAGGCUGUGCGAGAGGAUAGCUCCGUCACCGAGUACAGUACCG